CUUCAAAGCUCCAUGGUAGUGGUGGCAGAGCUCUGCUUCAGAAUGAACUAGUUCUUGAAUGAGGCACAUAGGUUCUUCCUGAAGUUGAGCAGCCAUGAAGUGGCUCUCACCUCUCAAUAGUCAUGAGCCGUCGUCACACAGUGCAGAGGUCCACAUGAGUGUGAGGAGAAUACUUGCGAAUAUCUCAAAUUCUCUCCGUGAUGUUCAAUGAUCUCUCAGAUGUCCUCAUCAAAGGCAGGUAGAAGGAAGAAUUCACAAGGGACAAAAGAUCAUGGAAUGAUAAUGGAACCUGGCUAAGCUGUCAGGUUUGAAACAAGAGCCAGAGGGCUAGAGGUACAAGUAUUGCUGGUCUUGAAUAUGAGAAAUGCAGAAACAGACUCUACUGAGAGAGAGAGCAUCAUAUCGAACCAGGUAAGAGAAUAUUGCAUUUCAAAUGUUUUGUCCAUGGAGGAAAU